rnacentral:rRNA from 1 species
AUUGAACGCUGGCGGCAGGCCUAACACAUGCAAGUCGGACGGUAGCACAGAGAGCUUGCUCUCGGGUGACGAGUGGCGGACGGGUGAGUAAUGUCUGGGGAUCUGCCCGAUAGAGGGGGAUAACCACUGGAAACGGUGGCUAAUACCGCAUAACGUCGCAAGACCAAAGAGGGGGACCUUCGGGCCUCUCACUAUCGGAUGAACCCAGAUGGGAUUAGCUAGUAGGCGGGGUAACGGCCUACCUAGGCGACGAUCCCUAGCUGGUCUGAGAGGAUGACCAGCCACACUGGAACUGAGACACGGUCCAGACUCCUACGGGAGGCAGCAGUGGGGAAUAUUGCACAAUGGGCGCAAGCCUGAUGCAGCCAUGCCGCGUGUAUGAAGAAGGCCUUCGGGUUGUAAAGUACUUUCAGCGGGGAGGAAGGCGAUGUGGUUAAUAACCGCGUCGAUUGACGUUACCCGCAGAAGAAGCACCGGCUAACUCCGUGCCAGCAGCCGCAGUAA